rnacentral:tRNA from 3 species
GCGGAUGUGGCGGAAUGGCAGACGCAGCAGACUCAAAAUCUGCCAAGGGUGACCUUGUGAGGGUUCGAGUCCCUCUAUCCGCA